CCUAUCCAUGAGCAUGAUAUGUUUUCCAUUUUGUUUGUAUCCUCUCUGAUUUCUUUGUGCAGUGUUUUGUAAUUCUCAUUGUAGAGAUUUUUCACCUCCCUGGUUAGUUGUAUUUUACCCUAGAUAUUUUAUUCUUUUUGUGAAAAUUGUGAAUGGGAUUGCCUUCCUGAUUUGACUGCCAGCUUGGUUACUGUUGGUUUAUAGAAAUGCUAGUGAUUUUUGUACAUUGAUUUUCUUUCUAAAACUUUGCUGAAGUUUUUUUUAUUAGCAGAAGGAGCUUUGGGGCUGAGACUAUGGGGUUUUCUAGAUAUAGAAUCAUGUCAGCUUCAAAUAGGGAUAAUUUUACUUCCUCUCUUCCUAUUUGGAUGCCCUUUAUUUCUUUCUCUUGCCUGAUUACUCUGGCUGGGAUUUCCUAUGUUGAAUAGGAGUCAUGAGAGAGGGCAUCAAAUCUACACAUAUCAAAUACUAACCUUGAAUGUAAGUGGGCUAAAUGCCCCACUUAAAAGGUAAAGGGGGGCAAGCUGAAUAAAAAAGCAAGACUCAAUGGUAUGCUGUCUUUGAGACCUAUCUCACAUGUGAUGACACCCAUAGGCUCAAAAUAAAGGAAUGGAGGAAAAUCUACCAAGCAUGUAGAAAACAGAAAAAAGCAGGGGUUGCAUCCUAAUUUCAGACCAAACAGACUUCAAA
rnacentral:lncRNA from 10 species